CCCCGAACACGGAAAAAAAAGGCGCAGUGGGGGUUCUGCUGUGUUUGCAAGUGAGGGUCGUGAGUGCAACGGGCGCAAGGCAUUAAGGCCAGUGUGUUAGUGCGCGGGCAGGCUCGCGUGGUGCUGGGGUUGCUGUGUGAGCGGCCCUCGUGGCUCGGGAGGUGCUGUGUUUGCGCAGGCGUGCGCCCCUGGCGUCGGGACUGGGACUCCGGAUUUCUGUGGCGACUGAGGCGCUCUUACCUUUGCGUCCUGAUCUCCAAGCAAGCACACUGACCUUCUUCAGGCAAAUACGCACUGUUAAUUUUCCAGAAAGUUCUGUGAGUAAGGUUUAUACCUCUCGAGUCUGCCACUAGAUGCCGCCAAAUCCCAGCAAAGGAUUGGCUGUUUGGUCCCUGGGAUUCUGGGAUUUUGUUUCCCUCCCCCCUCCCCUUUCUGAUUUGCUGAACGGUAAUAUCUAUAGGCAUCAUGGAUAUCGUUCAUUCCUAGGAAAAAAUAAAAUCAACUUCUGUAAAUAGCACUAGUAGGCAGGGGACUGUGACCCAAGAUCCAAAUAAUUUUGCUCAUUUCUUUCCUUUUCUCCUUGGGUUAAAAAAAAAAAAAGGCCCCUCUCCAUCCCUCUUUUCUUUUGUCCUUGCCUUGUUUAAUCAAAGAGUUAAUGAAUGACGCAAGCACUGAUGCUGAAGAUCCUAACCCUUUUUCCUCACCUUUUCAAAUGCUCGCAACUCACCCAAACUGAAAAUACAGAUAGCUGUUCCGUCAGUAAAGAUAGAUAAGAACUCAUCAGUAAAACCUGGACCCUGGUAUUGAAAACUGAUUUUCCUUUUCUCUUGAAAUUUGUAUCAGAUAUGUGUUUUUGCACCCUAUUUUCUGUAGUGGUAUUGGUAAACUUUAUUGUGUCUUUGGAGUAAGAGAAAGAGACCUAAUUGUAAACCUCAUUCCACCACUUACUAGUCUCAGUACCCUGGGCAAAUGAUUUAUGUUUUGUGAUCCUCAGUUUUUUUGUAUGCUUUCUAUAUUUUAGAUGCUGUGUUAUAUCGUUCACGUUGAUUUUUUUAUUCAUCACCAAGUCCUUAUUAGAUGAGCACUACUGGAUCAAAGUCAAACAACAAAAAUCAUACCCCUUUCAAUUAUCUAUCUUAUAUACUUGUACACCACACAGGAGGGAUUUUUUUAGAGCAGUGGUUCCCAAGGUGUGUUUCCUGGAUGUACCAGAAACAUCAGCGUCACCUGAAAAGUUGUCAGAAAUUCGGAUUCUCAGGUCCCACCUCAAACUUAAUGAAUCAGAAGUUCGCAGGGUGGGGUUUAGUAAUCUGUGUUAUUACAAACUAUCCCAGUGAUUCCAGCACACACUGAAGUUUGAGAGCCACUGCUUUGGAGAGUAGAAAUGCAAUGCAUAUUUUUGUACACACCACUAGAGGGUGCUACAGAAUGUAAAGCAAAAUAAUAAAUGAUGCACAGUAUAUGUUUUCAGACACCCUCUAUAUUAUCAGUCCUAUUUUACAGAUUAAAAACUAAUGUGUAGAUAUGUCAAAUUAUUUUCUUAGUGUACGCAACAAGUAUGGGAACCAGGAUUUGAACUUCACCUGCCUCUAGCCCAAGCCCCUAAUAGUACUCUGUUGUUUAACCAUGAUGACUUGUCUUUCCAAGCCUCAAAAUACAUUAGAAAUAUCUUGUUCCCUGCUUUGGCUAAUGUUGACUGGAGUGUCAAGAAGAGUGCAGGAAAGCAAACCAAGCUGUUGCAACCUCACCAGAACAGCUGAAGAAUGAAUUUCAGCCUGGACUCUACCUUAUUAGUUGGGCACCCUUGGGGAGGGUGCAACCUGCCCAACAUUUUCUGCUGGCCCUGUCUUACCUCAUGACUAAGAGAGCCUUCCUAGGUCUGGAAGGUAGCAGUCAGUCUGUUCUGGAGGGUGGAGAGAGACACCAGUGUUUUCCCAUGGUUUCUGGGUAGUAGAUAAAAUUGGUCUAUUCUAAGGUUAAUUUGAUAUUUUAAAAUUUUGAUUCUGACUAGCUUAUUGGAUUUUUUUGAAUAAUGUUUGAUUAAUGUAAAGGUUAAAAAUAAAACCUAAUAUUUCAGCUAAGCAAAUGGUAUUUCUUUAAUAAGGACGUAUUUCUAUCUAUUUAUACCUGCCUCAUUCCAUAGGAAUUUUAUAAAGCCAGUCCAGGAAUGUAGUCUGAAUCAAUCUAGUUUGCUAGCCUGUGAGACCAGGGCAAAGAUGAAAAUAGUCAUGGGAAAGUUUUAUCCUUUUAGGGGUAUCUGUCUUCUUCUAGUUCCUCUCUCCUCCUUUGACAAAUCCCCACCCCGAGACUGACCUACCCAUUUGACAGAAUGAGAUUACUUCUUCAAAUGACCCAAAACACUGAGAUCCUGAACCUAAUCAAUAAUGUCCUUGGAUGACCUUGGGAUGCCAGAUUCACACAUAAUUCCUUGUUGUCCCCUUCCUGAGUUAAUAGUUUAGCAUACAAUUUACCAAAAUUUGUAGUUUCCUGAGCCACAGACUUCACUUGGAAUGAUCAUAUAAAGUCAUCCAUGCUACAUACCAACCCACAGAAAUGAGGACCGCUUUCCUCCAGUGUAUGCUGAGUCCUACAAUCUGAGCACUGCUUCAAGAGGAUGCCUUGAGUCAUUUUUCCAGAGUUAAAUUUGCUUAUGCUUCUAACCUCCACCUACAGUCCCCGUUACACUGGGAAUGAUAAAAACUAUGCCUUUUGAAAAUAUAAGCUGUCAUGUUAUUAAAGAUGACAAACCAGUAGUAGUUAAAGUGCUGCAUCUAAAUUGUUGAAGCUUGUUACGUGGGAGUUCAUUAGACUGUUUUUCCUACUUUUGUGUAUUUUUGAAGUUUUCCAUAAUAAAACAUUUAAAAAGACAA
rnacentral:lncRNA from 1 species